GAUGAACGCCAGCGGCAGGCUUAAUACAUGCAAGUCGAGGGGCAGCAUGAUUGUAGCAAUACAAUUGAUGGCGACCGGCAAACGGGUGCGGAACACGUACACAACCUUCCAAUAAGUGGGGAAUAGCCCAGAGAAAUUUGGAUUGAUACCCCGUAACAUAACGAUGUGGCAUCACAUUGUUAUUAUAGAUUUUUCGCUUAUUGAUGGGUGUGCGGCUGAUUAGAUAGUUGGCGGGGUAACGGCCCACCAAGUCUACGAUCAGUAGCUGAUGUGAGAGCAUGAGCAGCCACACGGGCACUGAGACACGGGCCCGACUCCUACGGGAGGCAGCAGGGGGGAAUAUUGGACAAUGGGCGAAAGCCUGAUCCAGCAACGCCGUGUGUGUGAAGAAGGCCUUCGGGUUGUAAAGCACUUUUAGUGGGGAAGAAAAGUUCAUGGCUAAUAUCCAUGAAUGCUGACGUUACCCACAGAAAAAGCACUGGCUAACUCUGUGCCAGCCGCCGCAGUAAUAC
rnacentral:rRNA from 1 species